GUUUGAGGGAUCACAGGUAUGUUUUGUGACUGUAUGAAAAAGAUAAUAUUUGAUUUUUCAUACCUAUUGGCUAAAGGCGUCCAGCCAGGUUAGCUGAAUGAUGUCCACUUGGAAAACAAAGCUGGCUGGGGGAACAUGGGCCUUGACCUAAGCCAUUUGUGAGGAUAGUCAACACAUCCAGGCUCCUGGGUCUCUGUUCAUCUUUCCCCAGGAAGCU
rnacentral:lncRNA from 1 species